CAAUAGCGUAUAUUAAAGUUGUUGCGGUAAAAAAGCUCGUAGUUGGAUUUCUACCGAAGAUAGCCGGUCGGGUCUUCGACCUUGUAUCUGGUUUUGUCUUUGGUAUCCUCAUAGGGAACGUUUCUGCGCUUUAUUGCGUGGUGCGGUAUCUAUGACUUUUACUUUGAGGAAAUUAGAGUGUUCACGGCAGGCAAACGCCUUGAAUAUAUUAGCAUGGAAUAAUAACAUAGGACCUUCGUCCUAUUUUGUUGGUUUCUAGGGCUAAGAUAAUGAUUAAUAGGGAUAAUUGGGGGCAUCUGUAUCAACGCGUCAGAGGUGGAAUUCUUGGAUUGCGUUGCGACAAGCUACUGCGAAAGCAUUUGCCAAGGAUGUUUUCAUUGA
rnacentral:rRNA from 1 species